GACGAACGCUGGCGGCGUGCCUAAUACAUGCAAGUAGAACGCUGAAGAGAGGAGCUUGCUCUUCUUGGAUGAGUUGCGAACGGGUGAGUAACGCGUAGGUAACCUGCCUUGUAGCGGGGGAUAACUAUUGGAAACGAUAGCUAAUACCGCAUAACAAUGGAUGACACAUGUCAUUUAUUUGAAAGGGGCAAUUGCUCCACUACAAGAUGGACCUGCGUUGUAUUAGCUAGUAGGUGAGGUAAUGGCUCACCUAGGCGACGAUACAUAGCCGACCUGAGAGGGUGAUCGGCCACACUGGGACUGAGACACGGCCCAGACUCCUACGGGAGGCAGCAGUAGGGAAUCUUCGGCAAUGGGGGCAACCCUGACCGAGCAACGCGGCGUGAGUGAAGAAGGUUUUCGGAUCGUAAAGCUCUGUUGUAAGUCAAGAACGGGUGUGAGAGUGGAAAGUUCACACUGUGACGGUAGCUUACCAGAAAGGGACGGCUAACUACGU
rnacentral:rRNA from 1 species